UGUGUACUGAGUUUCAAGUUGAUUGGACUUCAACUUCACCAAAAACUACCUUGACCAAAAACUUUAACCUGAAACUUGCACUAUCAUUUUCUGUGUUCAAUGGACCGUGAAAUUGGGGUCAAAACUCUAAUUUGGCAUUGAAAGAAAGAUCAUAUCAUAGGCAACAUGUGUACUAAGUUUCAAGUUGAUUGGACUUCAACUUCAUCAAAAACUACCUUGACCAAAAACUUUAACCUGAAGCGGGACAGAAGGACAAACUGACGGACGAACGGACAGAGGAACGAAUGAACAGACAGAAGCACAGACCAGAAAACAUAAUGACCCUCUAUUAUCAUAGGUGGGGCAUAAAAAAUAAGAAAACAAGUACUUCAAUGGUUAACAAUUUAUUUAUAACAGAUAUUGCAAAUAACAAUUGUGCCACCACUCUUCCAAAUGUCAAUAAUGGCAUCAUGUACAAUAAUGCUGUCUUAUAAAUAUCAUCUACAAAUAACAUGUAAUAAACUCAGAAUCAAUGAAGAACAAUUAGCAUUUAAAGUGAAUAAAACUAUAUAAUAGUCAUUUAAUUUUCAAUGAUAAAAUGAUGAAGCUACAAGUCUUUAGUGGUGGGAUGAGUGUUCCGUAUGUUAUAGUUAAUACAAAUAAUUUUAUAAAAUCAUAAAACUUUUGAAUGUUCUUAAUCUUAUCAAAACUUUAAAACUAUUUUUGUUGCUUUCAAAAUUCAAUCUCUGCUACAAUAAAAUGUUGUAACAAACAAAUAUUUUAAAAGUGACUGUAAAUGUUUGAUACUUUUACUAAUAAUAUGAGAAAAUUAAAAUUUAUUGAAAAAUAACCCCUAAAACUAAAUUGGGCUAUAAAAAACAUCUUACAUACAGUCAGAAAAUAUUUCACUUAAAGUGACACAUCAAAUAUGUAAACAAUUUCUCUUGACACACUAUUAUAACUUAUAUAUAUAAUUCCUGAUUAUAUGAGUUAAUAGUUUAAAGUAUAUUUUUUGCAGGAUGAUUUACGCCUUUUACAUCAUUUCAAAACCCAAUGUACAUGUCAAGAUUCACGUAAAAGACUGAAAUACAUCAUUUCUAUGAUGAAGAAUGGUAAAAUACCUUAUGUAGGUACAGCAGGGAAAACGCCAUCAAGCAUAAAUGAUAAUCCAAUAUUUAAGUUUUUAAAUUACUUUAACAAAAAAACAUAAGGAUAUGUAGUGUAAUUACCAAUGAGACAAUACUCUUUUCAAAAUAAAAUUUAAAAAAAAAAACAGAAAGGAAGAAAUAAACCUUGAUGUAUAUCGUAAACACCAUACCUAUGCCCAAUGAAUCUUCAACAGUGUAACCAAUACCAUAAGCUCUAAAAGGUUCUGACUGACCAAAAACUAUAUUUUAAUAUAGGAUUAAUUAUCUGUUAGUAAAGUUAAAUUUAUCUUAACUUGAAACUAGAGGCUCUUAAGAGCCUGUGUCGCUCACCUUGGUCUAUGUGCAUACAUGUAUUAAACAAAGGACACAGAUGGAUUCAUGACAAAAUUGUGUUUUGAUGAUGGUGAUGUGUUUGUAGAUCUUACUUUACUGAACAUUCUUGCUACUUACAAUUUUCUCUAUCUAUAAUAAACUUGGCCCUUUAGUUACAGAGGAAAAUAUUUUGUAAAAAUUUACAAAAAUUUACCAAAUUAAUGAAAAUUGUUAAAAAUUGACUAUAAAGGGCAAUAACUCCUUAAGGGGUCAACUGCCACUUUGGUCAUGUUGACUUAUUUGUAGAUCUUACUUUGCUGAACAUUAUUGCUGUUUACAGUUUAUCUCUAUCUAUAAUAGUAUUCAAGAUAAUAACCCAAAACGGCAAAAUUUCUUUAAAAAUUACCAAUUGGGGGCAGCAACCCAACAACCUGUUGUCCAAUUCUCCUGAAAAUAUUCAGGGCAGAUAGAUCUUAACUUGACAAUCAGUUUUUAAACCCUUGAUAGAUUUGCUCUAAAUGCUUUGGUUUCAGAGUUAUAAGCCAAAAUCUACAUUUUACCCCUAUCUUCUAUUUUUAGCCAUGGUCGCCAUCUUGGUUGGUUGGCUGGGUCACUGCACACAUUUUUAAACAAGAUACCCUAAUAAUGAUUGUGGCCAAGUUUGGUUAAAUUGGCCCAGUAGUUUCAGAGGAGAAGAUUUUGUAAAAGAUUACAAAAGUUUAUGAAAAAUUGGUAAAAAAUGACUAUAAAGGGCAAUAACUCCUUAAGAGGUCAACUGACCAUUUUGGUCAUGUCGACUUAUUUGUAGAUCUUACUUUGCUGAACAUUAUUGAUGUUUACAGUUUAUCUCUAUCUAUAAUAGUAUUCAAGAUAAUAACCAAUCAAAGUGAUGGAUAUCACUGAUGGAAAGAUUAGAAGAGUAGUUUGAAUUAUUUCAUAUUAAGGUAUGGUGGGGGAAAUGAACAUUUAUAAAGCACUAUUGCUGAAAAUUGCAUUAACAGCAGGUCUUUAGAAGGAAACUUGCUUUUCCAGUAUGAGGAUAAAAUGAGCUCGAAUUAAAUGAUAAGGGUCUCUUAAUUUGCACAAUUUUAUUUAAACUGCAGUUUAUAUAUAUCUUAUCCAAAUAAUGUUGCCUGUUCUGAACAUGUUUCAAAAAAACAAAAAAA
rnacentral:lncRNA from 1 species